UGGACAAUGUGGAGAGUCUGCUUCUGGUCAGAGGACACAGAGCCCCAGCUGAAGCUUCAUCAGGCUUCUUUUCAGGUUUCUAGUGCUCCGUUAAAGAUUAGCACCUGGGCAAGUGGCUGGCCUACCUCUUAUUCUGCAUCCACCCCGGAGUUCAUCACAGGAUGAGGAGAGGGCAUGGAGGUGACCCUACAAUAUAUCUUCCAACAGUGCAGAACUCCGGGAUACUGGCUGGACACGUGACUGCCCAGAAUAAAGAUAACAACAUUUCCCAGCCACCUCGGCAGCUGGGUGUGGCUCUCUCACUAAAUUCUGUUUCCAAGGCUGGCAUGUCCUCAGGACUCUAGUUUGCAAGAUCCUGAAGACUCUCUAGCCCUCGUGCUUCCGGACCUGCCAGGAACAGGUGCUGCACUGCCCACUCUGCCUCAUCAGCCAGUGUUCUUCCACCUGCUUUCAGUCUCCUGGGAACUUGCUAAGAUUUCUCACACUCUGAUGGGCCCCCUCUUGUCCUUCCUGCUGUG